rnacentral:lncRNA from 1 species
UCAGUGCUAUUUGAUUCCUUCCAGCUUGACAUCUUUCUUGCAGACCGCUUUCAAUCGAUCGUCUCUGUUCCCCAGCCUCGAGAAAAGUCCACUUUGCUGUUCCAGUGCUUCUCUAGCUCGUCCGUCUUUGAAAGAUCAAGCUUUGGCCGAUCUGGUUGAUCCGAGAUGGGAUUUCUGGCAAGGUUGUGGGACGAUGUUGUUUCUGGGCAUGAUCCUGGGAUGAAUCUGCGGGAUCCAAAGCUUGAAGGAUCAUCGCAAGGAGCUCCUUUCGCCCAACGAGAGAAAGACAAGUCAGGGAAUACGAGUGAUCGAGAACGAAGAACCGGAGAUCCUAGCAUUACAAGACAAUUAUCUCCCAGUGUCUCGGAUUGGCUCGUUCUCAGCAUUCUAGACAGAUAAAAACAAGAAAGCUUCUCAAAGUUUGCUCUUUGCAAAGAAAGAUCUUUGUCUUGUGAAAGUCCUGCUCUUCGCAAAAUCUACGUGAUCUAAGCUUGAAAAGAAAAAUUUUCUAAACUGAAGUUCUGAUUGGUGGAUCCAAACUUUCGAUUCGAUCUUGGAUCUAAUGAUUUUGUUCCGCCAGGAAAUUUCAACCAUCAGUAGCGGAAGUUCUUUAUAUUCAUCGCCACCAUCUCAGAGAACAUCGUUUGGUCUUUCACAUUCUCUCCAGUGUUCUUACUUACCUUGAUCUCUUUCUUUCAGCGACCUGUGAAUCCAGACAGCGAACGCUUUGAAUUGGACUGGAUUCAUGAAAGUCGCCGAGAAUUGAAUUGAAUGCCAGCGCCCUCGAGAAUUCCUUCUCUACACUGCCAUGGCGAUGGAUCCCUCCUCCUGGAAGUGGAGGAGCAAGAGCAUGGCUUCCCUCUCCAGACGAAGCCCAAGGUAGAGGAUCAUCAAAACGUAGGCCAAGAUCGCGAGAGCUCCCAAGGGCCCGAGCGCCGCACGGUACAAGCUCGCAGCGCUGGAAUCCAUCACGGCUGUGGAGACGAAAUAGCCGCCAGCAAAUGCGACGCAAAUGCCAAUCGCCCACGCCACUAAUCUCAUCAUCAACACACAAAGGAAGAAACAACGCAUCGAUGGAUAGAAAAGGAAUCGCGAGGACCUACAGUGGUUCCUGAGCCCUCCAUCGCCGCAAGAGCCACAAAGUUCUC